CCUACGGGUGGCAGCAGUGAGGAAUAUUGGUCAAUGGACGGAAGUCUGAACCAGCCAUGCCGCGUGCAGGAAGACGGCUCUAUGAGUUGUAAACUGCUUUUGUACAAGGGUAAACCUGAAUACGUGUAUUCAGCUGAAAGUACUGUACGAAUAAGGAUCGGCUAACUCCGUGCCAGCAGCCGCGGUAAUACGGAGGAUCCAAGCGUUAUCCGGAUUUAUUGGGUUUAAAGGGUGCGUAGGCGGAUUUUUAAGUCAGCGGUAAAAUGUCCGGGCUCAACCCGGGCCGGCCGUUGAAACUGGGGAUCUUGAGUGGGCGAGAAGUAUGCGGAAUGCGUGGUGUAGCGGUGAAAUGCAUAGAUAUCACGCAGAACUCCGAUUGCGAAGGCAGCAUACCGGCGCCCGACUGACGCUGAGGCACGAAAGCGUGGGGAUCGAACAGGAUUAGAUACCCUAGUAGUC
rnacentral:rRNA from 1 species